rnacentral:rRNA from 1 species
UACGUAGGUGGCGAGCGUUGUCCGGAAUUACUGGGUGUAAAGGGCGUGUAGGCGGGGAUGCAAGUCAGAUGUGAAAUACCGGAGCUUAACUCCGGGGCUGCAUCUGAAACUGUGUUUCUUGAGUGUCGGAGAGGAAAGUGGAAUUCCCAGUGUAGCGGUGAAAUGCGUAGAUAUUGGGAGGAACACCAGUGGCGAAGGCGACUUUCUGGACGACAACUGACGCUGAGGCGCGAAAGCGUGGGUAGCAAACAGGAUUAGAUACCCUGGUAGUCCACGCCGUAAACGAUGGAUACUAGGUGUAGGAGGUAUCGACCCCUUCUGUGCCGGAGUUAACACAAUAAGUAUCCCACCUGGGGAGUACGGCCGCAAGGUUGAA